AACGCGAAGAACCUUACCAGCUCUUGACAUCAUCUGACCACUCUAGAGAUAGAGCUUUCCCUUCGGGGACAGAUAGACAGGUGGUGCAUGGUUGUCGUCAGCUCGUGUCGUGAGAUGUUGGGUUAAGUCCCGCAACGAGCGCAACCCUUAAGCUUAGUUGCCAUCAUUAAGUUGGGCACUCUAGGUUGACUGCCGGUGACAAACCGGAGGAAGGUGGGGAUGACGUCAAAUCAUCAUGCCCCUUAUGAUUUGGGCUACACACGUGCUACAAUGGAUAAUACAAAGGGCAGCGAACCCGCGAGGUCAAGCAAAUCCCAUAAAAUUAUUCUCAGUUCGGAUUGUAGUCUGCAACUCGACUACAUGAAGCUGGAAUCGCUAGUAAUCGUAGAUCAGCAUGCUACGGUGAAUACGUUCCCGGGUCUUGUACACACCG
rnacentral:rRNA from 1 species